rnacentral:misc_RNA from 1 species
AAGUCGUAACAAGGUUUCCGUAGGUGAACCUGCGGAAGGAUCAUUCAUGUGAUUUUUCAAACACCCAACUUCUUUGUUAACUAUUAGUUAAUACAAGUGCUCAAGUUUCUGUGUUUUUCUUUUGUUGGCUGCGUUUUCUUUCAUAGCACUCUAUUUUCAAUGCACUUUUUCAAAAUAAUUUUAAGAAAAUAGGAAAAGAAAUGAUAAAUGCUACCUUUUUUAUACUUUUAAAAUUUACCACAAAACAUUUUACCAUAAAAAACACCAAAACUUUAUUACAACUUUUAACGAUGGAUCCCUCGGCUCUCA